GUGCCCAUCCUUUUAUUUUGCAAAUGAGAAAACUAAGGUCCAAGGUAGUUACAUAACUUGUUCUUCUGGGGUCAGAGGGAAAAAUCAGAACAAGGGUGGGAGUUGUAAAGGAAAACAUUUAGGUUUGACAUCAAGAAAAAGUCUCUCGUAAUGAGAGCUAUCCAAAAGUGAAAAUGCACUGUGGUGGAUUCUCUAACACUGAGACCUUAAGGUAAGGACCUUUAUCUUCAAUUGUUGGAUUCUACUUUUGGAUUCCAUGGAACAUGGAAUGGUGUCCAAAGAGUCACAAUAGCAAGCAACCUUAAUGGCAAUGGACAUGGUGGAGAACUGAAGCAGGUAAAGAGAAGAAGUUAUAAAGGGGUAUGUGUACAUAUGUAAGGACUAAUGGCUUUUGGCAUUGUGUACAAAAAUAUGACAUGAGAACUCAGAGGCUCAAUAAUAGUACUUAAUGACCAUCAGCUCUGGAAAGUACUUAUUUCCUAAAUUUCUGAGGGUCCUCAGUUCCCUUCAAGGCUUGGUUCAGGUCCUGAACAAACUGGCACAAAUGAUUGCUGAACCACUGCCCUUAACAUCAUAUCACAUCAUGGGGGAAGUAUCAUAAGACUAUAGAAGAGCAAAUAUCCUGAUUUUCAAAGAAAUGAAUAGAAUAAUCUACCAACUAUAGGCAGUGUAUAGAUUUUAAUUCCUGGAAAGAAAGACAACAACAAUAAAAGAUCCUUGGUAAACAUUUAGAACAUUUAGAAAGUAAGUUAUAGACUGUAAUUUUUUAUUUAACGUGGCCCA